rnacentral:lncRNA from 1 species
AUCAGACACGCGGAGCGUGUAACCAUGGAAGAAGCAGGCCAAGAUUCAAUGACCUUUAUUGAGCCACAUGCAAGGUUAGCUGAACAGCAUGAAUUCAAGUUUUACCAAAUUGUAUUUAAAAGUUGAUAUCUUCAUCAUCCUGUACCUGAGCCUGGGGUCUCUGAAGCAUCCUCAUGUACCUCAACUUGAACUAGAGGGCACCCACUAUUCCAUGUUUUGCCAUAUCUCUUUUCCACAUUCAGAUGGACACUGCCCAUUUACUGGGACUAGAGAUCCAUACACAGGAGAUGACCACCCAUUUUGAUCUCUGGAUAAAGAAGAGGAAGAAUGUAUUGAAUGAAAGCAAAAACAAGUUCAUUCACUGAACCUGAAGCUCCAUGAUUUUGCUAGAUUUAACUGGGGAGCAAUCACUAACAGAAUUCCGUGUCACUCUGAAUAGCACUCGAACUUCAGAUGGUCAUGUAUCUCAGGCUGGCCACUCUAUUUAACCAAGAAUGACUUUGACGUUCUGACUGACCUGCCUUCCCUUCCCUACUGCUAUUUACAAGUAUGAACUUGUUCUUAGAAAGCCACAAUUAGCAGUUAUACUUCAGAAUUAGUAAAGACUUCUACAUUCAUGUUAUAUUUUACAUCACUGCACAAAAUAGUACACAGGGAAAGGUCUACAAUGAAACGUGUUCUUAUACAUUCAUGUGAUAGACUACCUUACCCACUUGAAAAUCUGUUUAAGGUCUAUAACUUAAAAUAAAUAAAAUAUCACAUUAUAACUUC